CAGAGGGUAGUUUAUGAAAAAUAUAAACUUUGGGAGUUUAUGAAGAGGUAUAUCUUUCUCUCUGA
rnacentral:tRNA from 1 species